rnacentral:rRNA from 1 species
AUGGGAUCCCACUUCCGCCCACUUGUCCACGAAUCCCCAGCCAUUAAUUUCCACCGCCUCCUCCUCUCCUCCGCUUCAGGGUUACAGCAGCAGCCAUGGAGGAGGACUUCGAGCGCGCGGUGGAGGACGGCCUCAGGCUCUCCAAGCGGGUGCGCCACGGCCGAGGUCACCCUCGUCGCGCGCUGGUGGCUGCACUGCCUCACCCGCAGCCGCGACUGCGACUACCGCCUCGUCGUGCCCAUGGGCAAGGAGGUGACCCGAUUCGAACCCUCCCCCUCCCCUUUGCUAUUUCGCCGUCGAUUGGAAUUUGUUGUACCUGAUUUUGUUGCCGUCAGGCGCUGGAAUGAUUAUACGAUAAAGUUUGCGGUUAUCCUCUAG